rnacentral:rRNA from 1 species
CUGGGGCUGUAUUCGGUCCCAAGGGUUUGGCUGUUCGCCAUUUAAAGUGGUACGCGAGCUGGGUUUAGAACGUCGUGAGACAGUUCGGUCCCUAUCUGUCGUGGGCGCAGGAUAUUUGAUGGGAGCUGUUCCUAGUACGAGAGGACCGGAGCGGACGUACCUCUGGCGCACCAGUUGUUCUGCCAAGGGCAUAGCUGGGCAACUAUGUACGGAUCGGAUAAACGCUGAAAGCAUCUAAGCGUGAAGCCGACCCAAAGAUAAGAUAUCCCAUUGUUUCAAACAAGUAAGACCCCUUGAAGACUACAAGGUUGAUAGGCACGAUGUGUAAGUGGAGUGAUCCAUUCAGCAAGCGUGUACUAAUAGGUCGAGGGCUUGACCACAA